rnacentral:tRNA from 1 species
ACCCGGCUAGCUCAGUCGGUAGAGAAUGUGACUAUUAAUCUCAGGGUCGUGGGUUCAAGCCCGACGUUGGGCG